rnacentral:rRNA from 1 species
GACGAACGCUGGCGGCGUGCCUAACACAUGCAAGUCGAACGGAAAGGCCCUGCUUUUGUGGGGCGCUCGAGUGGCGAACGGGUGAGUAACACGUGAGUAACCCGUCCCUGACUUUGGGAUAACAUCAGGAAACUGGGGCUAUUAUCGGAGAGGAUCUCUUGCUGCACGGGGGGGGAUGGAAAGUUUCGGCGGUUGGGGAUGGACUCGCGGCAUAUCAGCUUGUUGGUGGGGUAGUGGCUUACCAAGGCUUUGACGGGUAGCCGGCCUGAGAGGGUGACCGGCCACCUUGGGACUGAGGUACGGCCCAGACUCCUACGGGACGCAGCAGUGGGGAAUAUUGCACAAUGGGCGGAAGCCUGAUGCAGCAACGCCGCGUGCGGGAUAACGGCCUUCGGGUUGUAAACCGCUUUCGCCUGUGACGAAGCGUGAGUGACGGUAAUGGGUAAAGAAGCACCGGCUAACUACGUG